rnacentral:rRNA from 1 species
CAAUAGCGUAUAUUAAAGUUGUUGCAGUUAAAAAGCUCGUAGUUGGAUUUCUGGUCGGAAGCUCCUGUCCUCUGAUGAGCGUACAAGUGCGUCCUACCAUCCUUCUGUUAACCUUUAAGGCUUUCGCGGCUUUCUAGGGGCUCAGAUAUUUUACCUUGAGAAAAUUAGAGUGUUUCAGGCAGGCUAGCGCCGGAAUACAUUAGCAUGGAAUAAUGGAAUAGGACUUUUGCCUCUUCUGUUGGUCAUGAGGCUCGAGUAAUGAUUAAUAGGGAUAGUUGGGGGCAUUAGUACUUAACUGUCAGAGGUGAAAUUCUCGGAUUUGUUAAAGACUAACUUAUGCGAAAGCAUUUGCCAAGGAUGUUUUCAUUA